AGAGCACACUGCAACUCAAUGAGUUAAACUUAUAUGUAUAUAUAUAUAUAUAUAUAUAUAUAUAUAUAUAUAUAUAUAUAUAUAUAUAUAUAUAUAUAUACAUAUAAGUUUAACUCAUUGAGUUGCAGUGUGCUCU